UAUAGUCAGAGAUCUAAAAAGCUCACCAAAUAAAUCGAUGACAACUCUGGAUUAUUUUUGAGCUAUGUUCAUAGAACUAAAGCCUUAGAGGCCUUAUCAAGGCACACCUGUUUUUUGUUUUCUAGCCAUUCAGUUAGUCAUAAAAAAAGUCAAGGCCAAGAAAAACAACAGAGGAUCUUUGGAAGGAGACAGAAACCAACUGAAACAAGGCUCCAUUCUGGAGAUUUUCUAUGCUCCCAAAUCCCUCCAUCACAAAGGUCAUGAUCUCGAAGUCUGCAGAAUCUAACCAUUGCUAGGAAUGGAGCCUGCUUGGGAUUCUCUCCCCCUCACUCUCUGUCCCCCCCUCCCC